AUUGAACGCUGGCGGCAGGCCUAACACAUGCCAGUCGAGCGGAUGAAGGGAGCUUGCUCCUGGAUUCAGCGGCGGACGGGUGAGUAAUGCCUAGGAAUCUGCCUGGUAGUGGGGGAUAACGUCCGGAAACGGGCGCUAAUACCGCAUACGUCCUGAGGGAGAAAGUGGGGGAUCUUCGGACCUCACGCUAUCAGAUGAGCCUAGGUCGGAUUAGAUAGUUGGUGGGGUAAAGGCCUACCAAGGCGACGAUCCGUAACUGGUCUGAGAGGAUGAUCAGUCACACUGGAACUGAGACACGGUCCAGACUCCUACGGGAGGCAGCAGUGGGGAAUAUUGGACAAUGGGCGAAAGCCUGAUCCAGCCAUGCCGCGUGUGUGAAGAAGGUCUUCGGAUUGUAAAGCACUUUAAGUUGGGAGGAAGGGCAGUAAGUUAAUACCUUGCUGUUUUGACGUUACCAACAGAAUAAGCACCGGCUAACUUCGUG
rnacentral:rRNA from 1 species